rnacentral:rRNA from 1 species
CACGUAGGGCGCGAGCGUUGUCCGGAAUUAUUGGGCGUAAAGAGCUCGUAGGCGGUUUGUCGCGUCUGCUGUGAAAACUGGAGGCUCAACCUCCAGCCUGCAGUGGGUACGGGCAGACUAGAGUGCGGUAGGGGAGAUUGGAAUUCCUGGUGUAGCGGUGGAAUGCGCAGAUAUCAGGAGGAACACCGAUGGCGAAGGCAGAUCUCUGGGCCGUAACUGACGCUGAGGAGCGAAAGCUAGGGGAGCAAACAGG